rnacentral:tRNA from 1 species
GGUCCCAUCGUCUAGCGGUUAGGACGCUAGCCUCUCACGCCGGAAACCGGGGUUCGAUUCCCGGCCUCUCACGCCGGAAACCGGGGUUCGAUUCCCCGUGGGAUCACCA